CGGCAGCACGGACUUCGGUCUGGUGGCGAGUGGCGAACGGGUGAGUAAUGUAUCGGAACGUGCCUAGUAGCGGGGGAUAACUACGCGAAAGCGUGGCUAAUACCGCAUACGCCCUACGGGGGAAAGCAGGGGACCGCAAGGCCUUGCGCGGACGGAGCGGCCGAUGGCAGAUUAGGUAGUUGGUGGGAUAAAAGCUUACCAAGCCGACGAUCUGUAGCUGGUCUGAGAGGACGACCAGCCACACUGGGACUGAGACACGGCCCAGACUCCUACAGGAGGCAGCAGUGGGGAAUUUUGGACAAUGGGCGAAAGCCUGAUCCAGCCAUGCCGCGUGCAGGAUGAAGGCCUUCGGGUUGUAAACUGCUUUUGUACGGAACGAAAAGACUCCUUCUAAUAAAGGGGGUCCAUGACGGUACCGUAAGAAUAAGCACCGGCUAACUACGUGCCAGCAGCCGCGGUAAUACGUAGGUGCAAGCGUUAAUCGGAAUUACUGGGCGUAAAGCGUGCGCAGGCGGUUCGAAAGAAAGAUGUGAAAUCCCAGAGCUUAACUUUGGAACUGCAUUUCUACUACCGAGCUAAGUGUGUCAGAGGGAGGUGGAAUUU
rnacentral:rRNA from 1 species